rnacentral:lncRNA from 1 species
GUGAGCAGAGAGCACAGGUGUCUGCACAUGGCCGCUCUGAUUUCCAAGCUUUGAGAAAACCAGAGAGGUUUUGGGUUUUUCAAGAGAAUCAAGUCACAGAAAGAACACCAUCUGAUUGGUUCACAAAAAGAUUACAUAACCCCAGUACUUGAGGUGAAGGAGCAAUGCCCAAAUCGCCAUUGCCAUGCCUGCUGCUUGGGAAACUGUGUGUGAGUACUCUUGAGUCUCGAAUCUGAAUUCGUGAUGGCAGAAACAACCUUCCCCCAUUAGUAGUUUUCUUUCACUGCAGGUUGACUACUUCUUCGAGCUUAGUCGUCACCUGAUAUGUUGUUUAUUAUUCACAACUUCUGUACUUUACCAGUUCAGGUACUAUCUAUUCCUCAAAUCUCACACGGUUGUUUCUCUUCUUCAUCCCUUUUUUAGUAUCCUUAUUUAUAUCAUCUGCACAUUGGGGUCAAAUCUCACAUGUACCUUUCCUUUUCGUAAGAAAAUCACUGGAAAUUGUCAUUUUUUUUUUCCUUCUCAUGUUUUCAAGGUUCUAGAUAUUUCACUUUUGUUUUGGGUCGUCCCUCCUG